GCAAGGCCAGGACCGUGUGCGAUUCCGGCGCGGGCCGUCGCCACUGCCAGACAGGCGAACACAAUCUGCGACCAGGCCAGGUAAAACGGGUGAACCGAGAGGGAAACCGGAGGAAAGAUGUAACGAGACGUAGCGGUCGUGAAUGAAGAGGCGACGGGAAUAGAACCGGUCGGUGAUACUCAAUGACGAUGAUACUACUACAACCAGUUCCGCGGUCAAUGUACCGUGCGACGAGACUUCUUGCUGCAUGAAUGGAAGCGCGUAAGAAGGGCAAAGUCGAUUUGCGUUCGGCUGGUACCGCGGCGAGUCCCGAGAGCCGUGACAUUGAAAGAGCUUUCGAACUUCGACCCGGUGAACGAUCAAAGGUCCCGGUUAGACUAUAGCUAUUCUAAUAUCUCGAGCGAAGGGACGAUCGAACUUUCUCAUGGUCCACAAUUGGCGAACUACGAACGAAAACAGGGCUCGAAAAGUCUCCCGAAGACGAAAAUUUUGAACGAUUACUCCGGAGAGAAACGGAAAUGAGUCUAUAUGAGAUCAUGGAUCAAAAUGCAAACGACAGAGGCUUGACGUAUAAAGGAGAACCGCGAAUAUCCGAACGAAGUGACACCCCACGAAAUCACCAACCCCGUUGUGGAUACUCACAAAGGCCUUCAUGUUUGGUGUGUGUAUGGUGGGCUGGUAGUCCGGUGAAUGACUGACUUGGGCCGGGCCGGCGGGCCUUAUAUACGCCUAACUCUACUCUGGCUACGCUCCACAAUCACCAUCCUUUCGAAAGCAACGCGCUCCACCACCCUCCCCCCAGAAAAACUAUAAUCCACGUCGUACCAGCGGCUAGCACGGACCCGCGCAUAGAGUCACCGUCCCACCGGCUGGUUUCGGGGGCGAAAGGGGGGCUCCCCCCGUUUUCCCGCGGCCCGACACACGCAGCGCUUACUUACUUCACUCGCAAGAGGUUGCCGUGUCCGCGGGUAUUCCAACGGGGCCUCCUCGUCCGUGUUCAACGGGCCGGGAGAGCAGCCUCCUACUCCACCCGGCACCCCACCACGCUCUUAGCCUACACGCUCCGGCAUCCACAUCGGCAGGCCACACCAAGUGCAACACCACCCGGGUUACCUGGUCACCUACGAUACCCAACUCUCUCGUGGUGCCAGGCGUGGUGCCGCGCCGUUGCUGCUUGGGAACAUUUGCAGUCGUCACGAACUUCUUCCAAACGGCACAGGUGCAAACGAUGCGUUGCCACUUUCUCAAUUAUCCCUUAAUCGAACCGCAUCCACUGGAUAAAUUGAUUUGCAAGAAUGCUCGACAAGGACGAAACGAACGAUGACGCAAUACCAACGUUACCCAGCCAUUAGAAAUGAAAUUAUUCAAACAAAUAACCUUUGAGGUGGUUGUAUAAUUUCACGUUUCUUUUAAAACGCCUAAUACGUUUGGCUAAAGUAGAGGUGUCGCGGGUGACGCAAUAAAGAAACAGGAAAACGAAGAUCGAUGGUUAAAGGGCAAAACCUUUAAUACACUUGCGAAAAGUUUCGAUUGCAAAAGCGCGACGCGGUUAGCCCUGAAACAUUUUGUCCGAAGAGAAUCGUCCACGUUUUUAAAUUAAAAUCUCAGAGGUGGCGAUCUUCUAGUAACCGUUGAAGCUCCUUUUUCUCCUGGAGACGAUGGGAGCGAAAGAAAGCGGAUAGAUCCAAGAAUGGUGACACCGCCCGGUCCAGAAGAUUAUGGCCCGGCUCGUUACGCGAAACGAGGGCCCCCUCGCAUCGGAAACGAGUUUCCAGCGUUAACGGCGAACGCGAAACGCUCUAAAAGAGUUGGAAUUACGGGUCAUUGAAUGGCCUUAAGAAACCUGAAUUCUUUUCUAAAUAGAUUGCCGCCGUCGCUUGUCACUUAUUACCUCAACCUACUAAUCCCAGCCGCAGAGUCGUUGCAUUAUGCGACGGGAAACCCUGGAUCGAAAGCAUAAGAGUCAGGGGUUGCCACCCUUGGCCGCGGGUGGACGAUUUUGAAUUACGCCAAUGGCUCGUUUCAAACGAACUUUUUCAAGCGACUCAGAGCGUUGGUAGUUUUCAUGGGAACCGGUCGCAAUCGUUCUAUCACCGCGCCUCGGUUCUAUGCAGAUCUCCGCGGGCUCCACUGAAUUUUAAUGAAACAGCUUCGGGAAUGGAAACAUAGUUGCGUUCGUGUUCUCGUUUCGUCUCCUUUAAUCAAGACGCUCAAGGGAAAUCGAAAUCUGUUCCCGAGAUCCAUUUGUUAGAUCAAGACGAAUAGCCCUGUGAGAAAGCAUCGAUACACACUGCGAUGGGAAUGCAAAUGCCCCGGCUUGUUGCGUUCAGCUGCGUUACGUUAAGUCCACGUUACGUAUACGGCCGGCCGUUAAAGCGAGAAACAUUCGACGUUCGGUUAAUUAUUGGGUGAAAUUCACUCGAUAAAAGUGGCCCCAUUAUCGGCGCGCACGUUUUUCAUUCGGUUCUAGUCUAUCGGACAAACUACAGAUCUAACCAUCUGGCGUUGCCAUUACGGAACAAAGAGACGAGGUGAACCCGUCGUUCGGCUGCGUCUCGCUCGCCGGAGAUAAAUUUGUCCAGAUAACGUUCUACCGAUUCUUCUGCAUAAUUGUUACAAUCGUCGAUGCGGCCGAUGAUUCGUGUCAGAAAAAUCAUUGAUAAAAUAGCAGCGUGUUUGGAUCAGCCAGAGAGUUACGGUCGGGCAGACGGUUAUCGCGCGUAUCAUCGCGAUUCAAUGCUAGCCGAGCGAUCAGAUUAAGGUAAAACCGAAAGAGAGGAGGGAAAGGAAAAGGCUAGUGACGACCAUGGGAAAACGGGCGGAUGACUUAAUCUCGCGACGUGCCACGUCGAUCGAGGUAAUGCUAAUUAAAUCAAACUUAAUUAAAGCCUCGUGGCUUCGCCGCGUAUGUGCACAUCGCACAUUCGCCUUCCUCAAUUACAGCACAUGAUACUUUUCUCAAAUAUCAUCUACUACCUCGAUCGAAUCGUUUUUACACGUUAAACAAUUUCGUCAUAUCAAGUAUAUUAAGAAUUGCGAAAUCUGCAAAUACUUCCAAGUGUUCCAAAAUUGUUAUAAAAAUCAAACAAUCUUUCCAUUUUCUAUCAUGAUGACACCAGCGAUAGUUGGAAAAUUGAAACGUCACAAAGAAAACGUUUCGUAUGCGUGUACGAUUACAUGCGAGCUUGUAUCACGGCCGGCUAGUUUUCCGGCUCGCGCGAAGUGAAAGCCAUUAUAUUAUUUAGCGUUCGCGAAAAAUUCACCGGUCUAUCGCGAAAGUCGCCCGCGUGCCGUGUCAUUUCGCGCGGUGUCAGCCCUGACCGGUUUGGAAUAGGUAUAUAUAAAGCGAGACGGUCGCCGGCGUCGACUCUUUCGGUUCCUCGGCCACCCUCGAAACGGUGGCUUGAUCGAUUGCUCGCCGCCCGAGUCAAUUAGCCCGUCGGCGAGUUAUACACGUCGCUUCGCCCUUUGAUCGAUUAAUCGUCGAUCAUCUCUAAGGAUUCGCGUUGCGCAAUCGAUCGGUGGAAAACCGUUUCGGGUAAUAACGGAGGGAGGGAUUGAAAAGUUAUUUAACGAACGAUACCAUUGUGCAAUCGAUCGGUUCACGGUGCGACGACGGUUGAGUAAUAACGUUCGCAGCCUAUUAAUUGUGCGUUUAUUGGAACCUUUACCCGUUCCGUUCGAGGUGCAGCGAGAGAGACACGUACGCCAGUUUCUGACCUCGUUUCGGAAUUGCCCGGCGUUUUUCGUGGAAACCGGCGGCCGUACAUUUGCCUAGGAAUCGAUCGAGAUCGAUCGGUCGAACUAGCUCGUUCUAAUCGCUCGCCUACGUUACCCUGAUAAACCAAUUUUCUCGUGAGCGAGUCGGAUCGAAAUUGCUCGUGUCUCGUCGUUGUCCUCCGUCUAUCUCUGUACCACGUUUAUUCCUCUCAUAGAGACCCAUUGUUCGACUGAUACAUUCGCAUAUUAUUCCCACGGACGUGUUUUAUUUGCAAACUCGUGUUGGUCUAAUUCUGAACGAUUUCGAUAAUGCAACUUUUCCGACUUUCCUGCGAGGCAUCGCGUUACCUCAUGCAAUUAAACUCGCUCGACUUGCGAAAUUCGAUGAACACCGUGACGAACGAAUUCUCAGGGAAAAGUCUAGCCGGCCGAAGCAAGAAACGGCAAUUAGUUUUGCGUCGUACGCUGCGCGGGUCUGACGCCGAGCCGCACCGAAAAGGACGCUCGAGAGAAACUCCGAUAAGAUGCGCAGCGCUCGCGGCUCCGUGCUCGGAUUUUUAUGUAACACGAGGAUGUGAAACCGGAGAAAUUUUCGCGACGCCGCGCAGCGGGGGGAUCCGUGGGAAAAGCGUGCUCCUUCCACCGCGGCGGAUGGAAGUCUGACCAGGCCGAUGAGCCGUGAUUCCACGUGCUCCGUCAUUCAUCUUUCGCCCAAGCCACAUUUGCUUAACUGCACGAAUAUAAGAAUUUUCUAUUAAAUUAAACCACCUGCUGAGAACAAUUCCAAUGAAGAUUUAAGAAUUUAGAUUUAAUAAAAUGAAGUCAUGUCGCCCUUUAA